GGAACUGCCUGAUGGCGGGGGAUAACUACUGGAAACGGUAGCUAAUACCGCAUAACGUCGCAAGACCAAAGAGGGGGACCUUGGGCCUCUUGCCAUCGGAUGUGCCCAGAUGGGAUUAGCUAGUAGGUGGGGUAACGGCUCACCUAGGCGACGAUCCCUAGCUGGUCUGAGAGGAUGACCAGCCACACUGGAACUGAGACACGGUCCAG
rnacentral:rRNA from 1 species